UAAAAACGACUCUCGGCAACGGAUAUCUCGGCUCUCGCAUCGAUGAAGAACGCAGCGAAAUGCGAUACUUGGUGUGAAUUGCAGAAUCCCGUGAACCAUCGAGUCUUUGAACGCAAGUUGCGCCCGAAGCCAUCCGGUCGAGGGCACGUCUGCCUGGGCGUCACACACC
rnacentral:rRNA from 1 species